rnacentral:rRNA from 1 species
GAUGAACGCUGGCGGCGUGCCUAAUACAUGCCAGUCGAACGGGGAGUAGCAAUACUCUUAGUGGCGAACGGGUGAGUAACGCGUUGGUACCUGCCCCGAAGCGGGGGAUAACGGACCGAAAGGUCCGCUAAUACCCCAUGUGCUCGGUAACGAGUAAAGGUGAAAACCACUUUGGGAGGGGCCUGCGUCCCAUCAGCUAGUUGGUAAGGUAACGGCUUACCAAGGCGAUGACGGGUAGGGGACCUGAGAGGGUGGCCCCCCACAAUGGAACUGAAACACGGUCCAUACACCUACGGGUGGCAGCAGUAGGGAAUAUUGGUAAUGGGCGCAAGCCUGAACCAGCAACGCCGCGUGUGCGAUGACGGCCUUCGGGUUGUAAAGCACUUUUGACUGGGACGAGGAAGGACGGUACCGGUCGAAUCAGCCUCGGCUAACUACGUG